CUACGGGAUGCUCCAGUGAGGAAUAUUGCACAAUGGGCGAAAGCCUGACGCAGCGACGCCGCGUGUGUGAAGAAGGCCUUAGGGUCGUAAAGCACUGUCGAAUGGGAAAAACGACCAUUAGUAUAAUACGCUAGUGGAGUGAUGGUACCAUUAGAGGAAGCACCGGCUAACUCCGUGCCAGCAGCCGCGGUAAUACGGAGGGUGCAAGCGUUGUUCGGAAUUAUUGGGCGUAAAGGGCAGGUAGGUGGUCUAUCAAGUCUACUGUGAAAUCCCCGGGCUUAACCCGGGAAGUGCAGUGGAUACUGGUAGACUAGAGUGCCGGAGGGGCUCGUGGAAUUCCUGGUGUAGCGGUGAAAUGCGUAGAUAUCAGGAGGAACAUCAGAGGCGAAAGCGACGAGCUGGACGGUAACUGACACUAAACUGCGAAAGCGUGGGGAGCAAACAGGAUUAGAUACCCUGGUAGUC
rnacentral:rRNA from 1 species